GUUUUGUUUAAACUAGCUGUAACAGUAUUCCAAUUUUCUAAGUGAAAAUUUCAUACCUUCCCAUCACCUACGUGGAUCUCACUGCCAAAACUCACUUAUGAGCUGCUGGAACUGGCAUGCACACCCACUGGUAUCCCUGAAGAAAUCUACAUGCAAGUCAUUGAGAGGUUCAUCAUCCUAAUGCAUGACAGAACAAGCACCAUCACCAAUCUGGACAAAGCCAGAAAGAAGCUCUUUGCAAAGAAUAACUGUUCAAUGAAUUCCACCAACGUGAGCUGCUCUGGAGCAGCACGUCAAGAGGUCGGCCUAAUAGGGUGGUGAUGUGUCAGGUCUAACACUGCUCCCACAGGCUGUGCUUCCUUCUCCGACUAGCUGGGGAUGGACUGAUAGUGAGGACUGUACGAGCCACGCUAGACGACAUUUCCUGAAGCUUCCAAUCCCUGCUGUGAGUUGGUGCAAGAAAGGAUGCCACAAACUAUGCAAGUGCAAGGCCUCCCUCCAAUGCCCAGCUCUCUGCUUAUGCAAGGGAAAAUGUUCUAGGAACGGCAAGUGACACUCCUUUAACUCGAGCAGUGUUGAUGAUUACGUGAUUUGUAAGGGUGCAGUGCAUAAAUAUAUCAAGAUAUUUCAAGAUAUUUGUACCAUUAAUGUAACUUGGCAUUUAAUGACCUGGACAGGGACUUCUUGCUCCAAAAAUUAUGGCUGGAUGCAUACAACAUGUCAAACCCACACUCACUGAUUGAGCAACCACGUCCCAUAGGUGAUUAGUCAGCUGGCUAUGCUGCAUGUACAUAAUGUGUUUUAACAGCAACUCCUGGAAAAAUGCAGGUAAUGUCAUAUUGAAGUAAGCCCACGUAAAUAAGUUAAAAUACUUUAUUUCUCCUCAUCCAUCUUUAUACUUGAACACAAACAUUACCUCAUAUAAAAUUACUUUCAAAAUAAAUGUAUUUUACAUAGUUUUCAGAAAAACCCUUAGAAGACUUAUUUGUUUAAGUCGGUGAGUUC